rnacentral:rRNA from 1 species
AUGGCCAAGUAUUGGUGGGCAAGCUCUUUGGACAAGUGAUCCCUUCACUGGGUUUCCUGGAAGAACCUUGCAACACCCAAAGCAAAGGGCGGGAUGGGCUUCAAAGACUUACACUUUUUUAAUCUAGCCAUGUUGGGGAAGCAAGGAUGGCGUUUGAUCACCCAUCCGGAUUCCCUAUGCUCUAGAGUUCUGCAGGGGAAGUAUUUCCCGCUGACAGAUUUCCAAAAUGCUACUGCCCCAGUUUGGUCUUCAACCACCUAGAAAGCCAUCGUAGCAGGACGGAAGGCACUCGACACGGGACUCAUCAAACAUGUCGGGGACGGUUCGUCAAUCUCGACUUGGACAGAUCGAUGGAUCCCUAGCACCAUCUCUCUGAAACCUACAGGUCGCAUUGGCGCUGCCCAAAUUGACAGAGUUUCAGACCUGAUCGACAACUACACAGGAGGUUGGAAAGUGGAAGUUGUAAGGCAGAAUUUUCUUCACCCAGAUGCAGAGGCUAUAUUGAACAUUCCCUUGAAUCCUGCGGGAGGCAAAGAUACAAUUGCUUGGGCCCUAGAAAAAUCCGGCAUCUACUCUGUUAAAUCAGCAUAUCGUUCUCUUGUGACUCACAACGAGCUUGGAACUGACUCACAACGAGCUUGGAACUCUAGAGGAAGGGACGAUUACAGAAAAUUCAAGGACAGAUAA